rnacentral:misc_RNA from 1 species
CAAAACAGCAGCCACGCGUCGAGCUCUCCUUCUCUCUUCUUCCACGUGCCCACCCCCUUCCCGUUCUAAGGAAACCAUUUUGUAUUGCCUCGUGUUGAGUGGUGCACAGCUUGGUUGCGUGCUUGGCCCUGCGCGUGGUCUGUGACCCCUCCCUUCCCCCCUGCCAGCAACCGUCAAGCCUCCGGCACACCCACCCACCCCUUCCUCCUUUGUUUUUCUUUUUGGGGGGUCAGUCCCUCAGCACAUCAUCAUCAAUUCGCCGAAUUUUUUUUUCCUUGUUCUUGUUGGCUCACGUUUCCAUCGCGAUUCGCGCGUGAGGCCCCUCGAGCACCCUCACAGACGAGCCCGCACACGUUGCGAUGCACGGGAAUACAGACACGCACCAUUGAACCACUUUUUCUUCAUUUUCGUUUUUCUCUGGGCGUGUGUAUUCCUUGAGGUGGACGCUGUGUCUCUGUGCCCCUCACAGCCCUUCUUAUCCCCCCUCCUUCGACCCCCGGAUUCUUCAGUUGCCCCCCCCCCCCACACACACACACGCUCACGCAGUGUGUGAGUGGCUACAUCGUGUCGGUGCUGCUCAGCUUCAACGCAAGGCCGCGUUGCUGUAGCACGUCCUCGUCUCCCUCUCUUCUUUUCUGUGUAUACGUAUACCCUUUUCCACAAUGCUGCGUUUCUGCCCUCUCGCACACGCCGGCGCCACUACCGCGACAACCACCGCGGCAGUGGCCGCCACGGCUGCGCUGCAGCUCCAAACGCGUCGCGCCUACGCCACUGGCGCACGCUCGACCGCGCGCGAGCGGCGGUACUAUACGCAGCCGUUACGCACACCCCAGUACGGUACCAGCACCAUUGUGGGCCGUCAGAAGAGCGAUGCUGACGCUGCUGCAACGUGGUCAGGAGAGGCCUCGUCACCCGUGGCGGAGGAGAUCGUUACUGAUCUCCACCGCAGGCUUGAGGUGGGGCACCCCAGAAGCACGACGCGCUGCCGAACCGCGCAUCAGUCGCCCAAGGUGCAACUCAUCGACUUCAUCACCUCCCGCUGCCGGCCCGUUCGUUACAACGAUGCUGGCGUACCCGUGGAGGGGUCGCUGCUGCUGCUGCCGUGGCGGGAGCAGCUACGGUUGUGCACUGCCAUCCUCGCGGCGUUCUACAUAACCAAGGCCUUCUUCGAAAUGGUGCGCUUCGAACUGCUUUACUACGGUGUGUGGAAGGUGGGCUACCGCAACGACGGUUCCUUGAUGAAGCGGCUGCUCUACUACGGCUCGACGGCGAUGCUCGCGGCUGGGUUGCUGUUCAGCUUCAAUCUGAACUUCUUUCUCUCCGCGUGCGUGGUUGGGCGCCGUGAAAUCGCUCUGCACACGCUGUGCAAUGUUUUCGCCUACGUGAUGCCACGCCGUUUGCUGCAGCCGCUGGUGCGCCGGACGGUGUGCUGAUGGUGUAGCCGAAGGAGGACUGAGCCAGCCCCAUCCCCUCUCGUGCCCUAUCAACGCACACGCCAUCGCCCAUGCAGGAGAGGCGGAAAUCGCCUUGCCGUGGUCCGUAUGGGCGAGUGUGAUGAGGCGAAGGCAAAGCAUGCGCAGAGACACAGAGACCCGCCCGAGCACACGCACUCGAUUCCUGCAACCCCCCUCCCCCCUUCAGCGUCACAAGGAUCCAGUGCGACCUACGAACGCGCACUGUCAACUUUUUUUUUGAUAUUUGGCGUCGCUGCCGACACUACCCCACCACCCCUACCACAUACACAUGAUGCACCAGUGAGCACCAUCAUGCUCGACAACAGUGGAGUGGCACGCUCCUUCCCUUCCACCGCCCAAGAUGAAAAAAAAACCUCCAACUCGCUUUUGUCGGCGGGGAGGAGACGCGCCAGCGGGGAAUGGCAAGCGGCGUUACUGGUGUCCUUCUUUUCGUUGCUUCGCACGUUGCGCCUGUCGUUUUCUGAGGAACAACAAAAGCCUGACAAGAGGAAGUCCAAGAGCCAGCACUGCUUUCCUUGCCCUCCCCCUUCUCUCUCUCUCGCCCCCAGUGUGUCUCUCUGCCACUUGCGCAUGAGAAUGUAAAGACUGAAGGCGAGUGGAAGAGAAGGACGCAUGACUGUCACCUCGCAUGCUGAGUGUUCCUGUUUUCCUGUAGCUUCCCCCUCCCCCUCCCCCACCCCCCCCACACCGCCGCCGUCGUCGUCGGCUUUUCCUUUAUGUCUCUCAUUAUGAUGCCCACCGUCGCGUUCCAUGUAGAGUGUGUGUGUGUGUGCUGCUUGAUUGUGCGGUUCUCUGUUUUUUUCUUGGCCGUUUUCUAGGUCAAAUCCUCAGUUCCUGCCCCGUCCCCCUCCCACUCCAUCUCGUUGGUGGUCUCCUUCAUAUAAACUGAACGACGCACACACACGCGCACGCGCACAGGCGCAUGCGCUGAACAGUUCACCACUCCCCCCUCCCUCUACCUCCUCCAUCCUCCCCCCUUUUUUUUACGGUGAACUCUGUUCAUCACAUCUUCACAUCUUCUCGCGUUGUUUUUUUCACUCCUUUCCCUUGGGUCAGCGGGUCUGAUUCGGCCUUUGUCGGCGUGCUGCUGCGCUCUCCCUCCCUCCCCGCUUGUUCUUCGUCGCGCGACGUACCGCCAUUCUCGCACCGCACGGCAUCGCAUGCUGCACGUGAACACGAGCAGUAGGGUUAUUGCAGAUGAGCUGCCCCGGUGUUCUUGUAUGAUGGCUCUCGUACUCCUCGCUCGCUUCCCUCCUUGCGAGGUAGGCUUAGCAUAUUGUACUCCUUUUCACUCGGUACGAAACACGCUCGCUGUCUUUCUUUCCCGGAUGGCGGGGGAGGGGACACCUCAGCCGGGUAGCAGGAUCUACCACCUACUGUUUUGGAAAGCCGAUAAGCCCCUCUCCCACCUUAUCCCUCCCAGCGCCGAGCCACACCUGGCGGUGGCGGGACCAAGCACCGAAGGCUUUGUGGAUUCAGUGCGGUGCGUCGCUACUGCCGUCGGCGGCGAGGUCGCGGACGGCGUUGCGUCGGAGCGGACUGCGACCGUGCACGCGCUUGUGCCAUGGACAUGCUAGUCAGCGUGUGAAGGUGGCUCGGACGUAUGGCGCCCGCGGCCCUGACUGGGUAGUUGUGGGGAGCCUGCGCCACCCGGAGGGAUGCACGAGGCGGUGACCCGCCUAAUGGGAGGCGGCUGUGGGGCGGCCUGCGGAGCCGGUGGGGGUGGGGGGCCGGGUGUGUGUCUGUGAGGUUGGAGGCAGGGCUGUGCUGAGAUGGCCGAGUCGGUGCAUUGCCAUGGCACGUGUUUCCAUGGCUGCUUUCGCAUCACGCGGAAUGGGGGGGGGCCUGUGACAGACCGGUGAGAGGGGAGGUGUCGAGGCUUGGUGAGUUCGUGUUGUAGAGCACAGAAUGGACCAGCGGGAAACAGAAAAAAGCUCGUGCUCGCUCACCUCUUUUCGCAUAGGACUUUAAAUGCCUCUUCUUCCCCUACGGCGCCCCGCCUCCACCCCUCCCUCUUUUCUUGUUUUUCUUGGUUCUUCGUUCCUCUCUCCCUGUGCCUGUAUGACGAUUUGGGGCGUGUGCUCUCGACACAUACAGGCUGAGGUCAGCGUGAGUGUAUUUGUAUGUGUGUGUACAUAUGGCGGGCUGGUGCCAGCUCGCCGCUGCCUGUGUCGCUCUUCCUCUCGGUCUUUUCCUUUCUUGUGUUUUGUUUCUCUCUUAUUCCUUUGUCAUGUUGUUGUGCUGUUUCCUGCCUCGCCCCACACCUCACCGCCCAUCCCGCGCAAUUCAAGGGCUCGCGAGUACCACACGAAGCGAAGACCCAGCAUCCACGACCGCCGCGAGCACCGGACAGGACCGAGGCGCAGACAAAUUCCCUCGAACCGCUAGUUAAGAGGCAAGGAAAGACGUGCAUGAAUGGUUCUGAGGCGAGCGGAAGGACGACGUAAGACAGCGCGCUGCGGCUGCUACCCAGAAAGAGGCAAGGAGCACACAUGCACGCACACGCAGUGCAACCAUUUUCUUAUGCACACGACAGCGCAGAAAAGCAAAGAGCCCCGCAAAACUGCAUCGCUGCGUCACUGAUGGUGACAUGUAGACUGUCUUGGCGUCCACACCAUUGUGUUGUGGAUUCGCUUCUCUUUUUUGAUGAUUGUUGUUGCCAAUGUGGACUAUUCCCCCCCCCCCCGCCUCCUCAACAGGCUUUUGUACAGCCGACUUGAUCUUUUCCCGGCUCCCUUUUGCUCCACUCAUCUUCCUCCUCUUCCACUUUCAUCACUUCUUCUUCCAUCACCGCCCCACUCUCCCUCCCUCACCCAAUCGUGGGGCACUGAAUGUCUCUCUCGCUCUCUGUGUGCUCUUUUUUGUUGUUCGGAGUCGCUCGCUGGACUUCUUGUACUGUGUUUCCAUGUCCGCGCCGCCACCGCCCCCUUCUUUAACCCUACGAACCUUUCCUGUCUUUACCAUGCUGACGCUGUGGGUCUUGCGUGUGUCUCCCCUGUGAGCGAGUGGUUGCUUCAUUACCUUUAUUAUGGGCAUGUGUAGUUGUUGCGCGUCCUCUCUCUUCAGGUCCAUUCCUGCGCGUUCUUUUCUCCUUUGCUCGAGGUUUGCUGUUUUCGGGUGGUGUGUGUAUGCGUGUGUGUGCCUUCCUCUUGGUUCUGUGUCUGCUACUGCUACGUCGCUUCUUCUGUGUAGGCCCUUAUCUUUCUUUUUUGUGUUCGCCCUAGCUGCCGAAAUGCCCGCGCCGCCACCUCGAACUCCCUCACGUGCUCUUUCCGUGGUUGCGUUUUGUUCCACUGUCUCUCCCUCUGUCGUUGCGCCCCCUCCUCCUCCUCCUCGUGGGCGAUGACGCUGAUGGACGGGGUGGGGGCUGGGGCUCUGUCCCCACAUCUCGUAAACAUCUGCGCUGUGUUUGGAUGCGUUGGCCCUUCCACUUUUUUCUUUUUCAUGCUUACAGAUUGAACCUCUUGUGCGCGACCGUAGUGCACAAACGACACUUCCACGCGCCCCUGGUCGUCUUUCCAUCAAUCAUGUGGAAUUCUGGUCUUCCACCGGUGCCCCUCCGUCUCCAUCACGGCAGAGGAUCACAUCAACGCCUGUAUGCUGGGACUCUGCGUAUGCGUGUGCGUGUGUGGCUCAGAGUGGAUGUGUCACCGCGAUUUGGCGCAAUAGCAGAAGACAUCCGGAAAACAAGGCCGAAAAACGAAGCCUAAAGGCGCCAUCUUGGGCACACUUCCUCAGCACACCCUGCACGCGCACGCACAAAAUUUUCAGUGGCCCGACCCUUAGCGCUAGCAGUACGCCAUGAGGACAACGGCUGACGACAUAUGCGAUACCCAGCACCUUUC